UAGCCAAGUGGAUCAAGGCAGUGGAUUGUGAAUCCACCAUGCGCGGGUUCAAUUCCC
rnacentral:tRNA from 1 species